GGGGCUGAAUUUUAAGCUCGACAGUGGACCUUAACAAGCAAAUUGCGCAAGCCGGUUACUCACCGUUAUAGGGUAAAACAACAGAUGCAAAAACAUCUAAUCGUGAAAGUCUAAUUGCUGACUUAGCAAACCGUUUUGGUUUUGCUCCUAAGCAAGAAGCUUUUGCACUUGCAGCCUAGUUUAUAGGUUGCGGUCUUUUAGCUAGACACCAAAUAUAGCUAUUAGAUCUCAAAUUUAUUUGGUUGCUGUUUUUAGUGCUAUUAGAACUAAAAAUUUAAGACUUUCUUGUUGCUAGUUCGUGCUAUUUUGUUUGUUUAGCCAGCACAGCUAUAAGAUUUUAAACAAAACAAGCUUGUAGUGCAUUUGCAACGUUAACCAUUGGACGCGGGGGUGGUACCCGCCAGCUCCACCA
rnacentral:tmRNA from 1 species